rnacentral:ncRNA from 1 species
AAGUCGGCAAAUUAGAUCUGUAACUUCUGGAUUGGCUCCGAAUAUCGAGAUACUCGGGCUUGAUUGGGUAGCAAAAGUACGGUUUAUGUACUUGUUCUGGGUAAAUAGAGAUUUUUGGGUUUUGUUCCUUGGAUAUCAUUUACCUACUCAAUUGUGAAACUUUGUUGCCAAAAUUUUUAAGGGGUUAUCGUAAGAUAUAUUCUUUUUAAAUUAUAGCGAUUAUCAGGUAACAAUCAAUUUAGCACUGGCACGGGCUUGGAGAAUCCGAUUGUCUAAUUAAAACAAAGCAUUGCGAUGGCCCUAACAGGUGUUGACACAAUGUGAUUUCUGCCCAGUGCUCUGAAUGUCAAAGUGAAGAAAUUCAAGUAAGCGCGGGUAAACGGCGGGAGUAACUAUGACUCUCUUAACAGACGUCAAGCAGUAAAGACGUGUUUUUCGUGUGCGCGCAUAAACCAAAACGAAAAUUUUAAUA